AAAACUCUGCUAUGUACGAUUAUUCUUCAUUUAAUUCAACCGACAAAAAAGAUCCGGGAAACCUUAUUUUAAGGACUAUAACAAGCCUUCUUGAAGGGAAGUUAGAAAACUUAAAUGGGUUACCCACCUGACAUAGGGGCGGGUCUGAAUUAAUUGAGAUUACGGCAUGGCGGAGUUUUU
rnacentral:other from 1 species